rnacentral:rRNA from 1 species
UACGGAGGGUGCGAGCGUUGUCCGGAAUCACUGGGCGUAAAGGGCGCGUAGGCGGCUGGGGAAGUCGGCGGUGAAAGCCCGGAGCUCAACUCCGGGUCGGCCGUCGAGACUCCUCGGCUCGAGCUCACUAGAGGCAGAUGGAAUUCCGGGUGUAGCGGUGGAAUGCGUAGAGAUCCGGAAGAACACCGGUGGCGAAGGCGGUCUGCUGGGCAGUUGCUGGACACUGAGGCGCGACAGCGUGGGGAGCAAACAGG